rnacentral:tRNA from 1 species
UGCGGGUGUGGCGGAAUUGGCAGACGCGCAGGAUUCAGGAUCCUGUGGGCGAAAGCCCGUGUGGGUUCGACUCCCACCACCCGCAUAUU